GGGGAUGACAGGACUCGAUAGACGGACCAAGUUGCUUAUAUGUGCAUAUCAAGGUGCUCCACUUGUAAAACAGGGCACAUUCUACGUGCAAACGUAACUAGUCGAGUGAAGAAUGCACUUGCUCGCGCAUUUGCUUUCGGAACACUCGCACCUGUUGUAGCGUAAUACACGCCGCAACCAUCACCUCCGUGAUACUCAAUAGCGGUCAGGUGGUGUCAACCUUAUUGAGUGUAGGAUUGUAUUCGUAGUCAGUUGAUGCAGUCUGAAAGUAUAAUUACUGGCAACCUUUUACCUUUUUGCCGUUUUUGGAGGUAGAAGGAUAACAAAACGGCUACGUAUGUAGAACAUAUUUGUAACCCGAUCUAGACCCGGGUUCAAAUCCCGGCAUCUCCACCA
rnacentral:tmRNA from 1 species